rnacentral:lncRNA from 1 species
GGAGGGAGGGGAGGUGCGACGCGACGGAUGCGAGGUGCGUGUGGAAGGCGGGCGGGCUGAAGGCGGGCGCGGCGGCGGUGUGAGAGGGACAGGACGGUGAGAGACGGGGACGAGCGGAGACAGAGAGCGGGCGCGCGGCGUCGGCGACGCGGGAGAGGAAGGUGGAAGAGCGUGGCGCCAUCGUGGCAUCGCCGCAGCGAGCAAAGUAGGCUUAAGUUACCAUCGUCUCGUCCUAUCUGGAGCAAACUCCUUGCCUACCGGUCUCAUUCCAUAUUUAAAUCCCCACUUUUCCCUGUUUGUUUCGGCUUGUGGCAGCUUUUGGCCACCAAAAGCUGCUGCGUACUGCCAAACGCUCAGUUUUUCAGUCAGUUUCUAUAAAAUUCGUUGGGGGCAAAAACCAUCCAAAAUCUACAUAAACACAUAAUCGAUUGAGUCGUUGUAAUAGUAGGAAUCCAUCACUUUCUAGAUCCUGAGCCUAUGAACAACUUUAUCUUCCUCCACACGUAAUCGUAAUAAUACUCAGAUUCUCCCCACAGCUAAAUUUUCUCCACAGCCAGAUUUUCAGAAAAGCUGGUCAGAAAAAAGCUGAACCAAACAUGCCCUUUAAAUAAUGUAUCUACAGUACAAAAUAGUAAUUUGUAUGACCCUUUAUACGAUUUAUUGAAGAUAGCCUUAGUACAUGUUUGAUCUAGGAGCUAAAAUAAAAUUGACUAAAGUUAGUCAGAGCUAAAGAUCUAGAUACGAAGAGCUAAAAGUAACUAAGUUAUUUUUUUACGUGACUAAAUUAUAGUCACUUUUGUUUUAGCUCAUAUGAUCUAAACAACCUCUUAGGUCCCGUCUGUUUUCUUUUAUUUUGAGGAAUUGGAAUUUUACUAAUGAAAUAAACUAUUUUUUUAGUAUGUGACAUUCUACCACUUUCCAAAGUUAUCAUAUAAGUCUAUCUCAAAUUUAUAGGAUGAGAGAUGGAAAUUGAUUCUAUAGAUUUACAUGCUAUUUUUCCGAUGUACAAAUUAUAGCACACUCUUCUAUUUGCUUCGCUAUAACAUAAAUGUAGUAUAUAACUAUCUCUCUCAUAUGAUUUAGAAUAAUAUACAAAUAUAUUACAUAUAUAAAUAUAUAAACUUAAUUAGUUUUGUCUAAAUUAUAAUUAUUGAAAUGGAAUUCAAUUCCAACGAAACAAACGAAACAAACGGGGCCUUAAUGUUUUUGGGAAAUGAUUUGUAAUUUUGAUAUGGAAGAUGCUAUAUUGUUUAUAAAGUUGAUUAUUUUAUACUUGUUUUAAUUAAUAUAUUGCCAGUUAAUACAGAACAAAGCAAGACAAUAUAGAACAGAACAGGCUUAUAUAAGCUAUGCCAAGAACUAAUAUGUUUGUUGCAAUAUUUACACGAAAUGUCUUCAAAAGAGCUGAGCAGACAUAUAUAGUUAUAUAGAGGACACAAAAUAAACAUUCUACAACUUAAAAGGCUACCGAUGAUCUGAGAAAAUCUUUAGUUCCUAAAAGAUUUGUUGUUCGUUUUUUCUUUGAUGUGCAGGGUCCAUGCUUGAACAUGUAGUUCGAAUAUGAAAUAUAAUAAUAUCUUCAUUUAUGGAGUACAAAAAUUAGUGAGUCGUUGUUGUAUAUUUUUGCAAGCAAUGGUAGGUUGUUUGCAAUAGAUAAUAAAGAAAUCAAAUAAGCAGAAAAUAAAGAGAUCAAAACGUUUAAUAUAAGUGGCUACCACAUUUAAUAUGUAUCUUCUAUCUGCAUUUCUAUAUGGUACUAAGUUUGGGAUGAGCUUAAAUACACCGUUUGGGAUGAGCUUAAAUACACCAGAAAGUACACCCAGAUUUAAAGGAUAAAACCGGAUGCGUCUCAUAUAUAUGCCAAGGAAACAUCACAUAUAAUGACAAAGAGUGUAGAGAUAAAUGUCAUUAUUACACAACGGAAGUCUUACAAAAAUAAAUAGUAAUAAUAAAGCGAACUAAAUAUUAUUUCCCUGGCGCCACAAAGCUGAUUGGGAGACGCCACCUAGAUCAACUCGUAUGCUUCAUUGUAGGGCGGCUCCUCUUCGACCACCUACUCUUCACCUGUGGGAGGUUUAUAUAUCGCAAGAGUGAGCUCACAAAAGAUCAUAGCUCAACAAGUUGUGGAGAAUAAUGUGCAUAAACUCACCAAAGGUGGGAGUUCAUGUGAAGUGUAAGGCUAAUCAACAAAAUAAAGGUUGAAGUUGAGCAUUGCUUUUAUAAGUUGGUCAAAAUUUUAUUAGCAGUUACUAAGUGUAAGUAAAUACCAAACCAUAGCAAUAGUAAAUCAAAGUAAUAAUAAAUUUCAAUGCGAUGCAAAUGACAAAUUGAAUUUAAUUCCAUACAUUAUUCAUGUGAGGGUCCGAGCUGCUCAUAACGGUGAGCACAGCUAAUAUACCAGUUUUACACUCUGCAGAGGUUGCAUAUCUUUACCCACAAGUCAUGUUAUCCAUAUGUCAAGGGAUAGCGACUCUCAUACACCUCUACCUAAGAGGCGAGGCAGAGUAACACUACGAGGCCUUUACAAAGUUCCACUAGCUUCAGAAAACUCGCUACAGUUUCUAGGAAGCUCCAAUGCAGGGAUCCCUCGCCUGACCGCCAUCACAGCAGAAUCAACCCAAUGACCUCCCUACACUGACCACUCCCCUACUGCCCUUGCCCAUAUCGGGUAAGGUAGUCCUCCACUAGCUUUCCUAAUUAGUCAGCCAAGGGUGUCCCAUACCACCCUUGUGGUAGCACUGUUUUUCCGGGUGAUCGCUCCACGUUCCAAUUAACAUAAUGAUCUUAUCAUGAGCAAUAAAUAACAAACUGAUAAUAAAAAUAUUAUCAUGAAUAAUAUGUAUCUCCAUACCCAAAACCACAUAAAGCAAUAGCAAGUACUACCCAAAAAUUCAGUGGUAAACAAGGUAUAAAGAUAGCCAAACUAGGGUAACCUAUUGGGUCCCAUCAAAAUUAACCUAUGCAGAUCAUUAUGAUUAAUAAGAACAUUAUUGGGUAAAAAGAAAUGAUCAAUGGCACAACUUGCCUUCAACGAGCUCUUGCUCAGCAGUCUUCACCUGCUAAACCCCUGGAUCCUCAGUAGCUGGCUCAUCCACUCGCAACAAUUCAAACAAACAUGGUAUAACAGAAAUUAACAUCACACCAAACAACAGAAUAGAAUGCAUGACAAUAUUCUACGCGUCAUAACGAGAUCGUAGAAAUAAGAAUCACUAAAUUCGGAGUUACGGUUAUUAAGUUAUGAAUUUCUGAAGUUAUUAAGUGCCUAAUAUAGAAUAAUUCAAGUGGAUAAUUUUAGUCCAAAUUUCAUGACUAAAUAGAGACACUAGGUGACAGACAAUAUUAAAACAAAAUUAAUGCCACUGGAAUGAAUCAAUUUGGAGCUAAAAUGAAUUAAAUAUGGAUUUCACAAGUUUUUGGAAUUAUUUGUGUACUAAAAAUCAAUUUCUAUAUUUAAAUAUCGGGUUUCUCUGUUCCUGGGUCGCACACACUGGUACAGAAAAACUCAGGGUUAAACUAGCAAAAACCUAGCAGACUCAGAUUACAUCCCUUGCGGACGGUGGGUUUAAUAGGACACUCCAUAGGGUCUCUUUUAGAAAACGCUCGGCUGAAAAGAUCUGGACGAACACGAGCCGUCCGAUCCCGAUCUGAUGAACCCAAAAUAACGAUGAAGGGGUACGCGCCCAUGAUCCUUGGAUCGGGGAUCUACGGUUUAAAACCCACGUGACCAUCUAGCCGCCAGAUAACGUUUUGACGACCCAAAACGUUUCUACCCAGAUCCACACCUGGAUUGAAUCUCGAUCGUUUGUCUAGAUCUGACGGCCACGAGAGGCUAACCAACGACCGAUCUUCACCCAUCGUCACUGGCUACGCCAACCUAAUCUGCACCGUUGGCCACAAAUCAAAUGACUCCUGGCCCAUCGUCUUCCCCCGAAACGGCAGGGCGACCAGGCACCACACCGCGGUGGCGACUUCGAUUCCCCGGCAAACUAAGCUCCGCGCAACGAGAUCCUACACCAAGCGGACAAUGUGGUUCGAUCGGGAGUGACGCCUUACCGUCAAACGGCUUGAAGGUGAACCCGCUUUUCAACACCGUGCAGCGCUGCCACAAAGCACGGGCUUCGGCGUACUUCACUCCACAAUCCGACCCUUCCUGGAACCUCCUCCGCUCGCUGUCCUUCCAAGGAGAGUGAAAGUCGCCUAUAGGGGGUGAAUAGGCGGAAUCUGAAAAUUAUAAACUUAAGCACACACUACAAGCCAGGGUUAGCGUUAGAAAUGAAUCCGAGUCUGAAAGAGAGGGAAAACAAAUCAACCAAGAAAUAAAGCGGAUGAACACAGUGACUUGUUUUACCGAGGUUCGAUUCUAAAGAACCUAGUCCCCAUUGAGGUGGUCACAAAGACCGGGUCUCUUUCAACCCUUUCCCUCUCUCAAACGGUCACUUAGACCGAGUGAGCCUUUUCCUUAAUCUCCCGGAUCACUUAGACCAUGCAAGGACCACCACACACUUAGGUGUCUCUUGCUUCGAUUACAAUUAACUUGAGAAAAGAAAUGAGAAAGGAAGAAGGCAAUCCAAGAGGCAAGAGCUCAAAAGAACACAAAAUCUCUCUCUCACAAGUCACUAAGUGCUUGAGUUGAAUUUGGGACUUGGAGAGGCUUUAAUCUUUUGAAUUGUGUCUAGGAGUGAAUGCUAGAGCCCUUGUAUUGAAUGUGAUACUCAGAAUUCUUGGAUGCUUGGAGUGGUGGUGGUUGGGGGUAUUUAUAGCCCUCAACCACCAAAGAACCGUUGGGGCAGGCUGUUGUCGAUGGGCGCACCGGACACUGUCCGGUGUGCCAGCCAGGUCACCCAACUGUUAGGGUUCUAGAGCAGUUGACCAUUGGAGGCUAUGUCCUCUAGUGGCACCGGACAGUCCGGUGCCGCACCGGACAGGCACUGUUCAGUGUCCGGUGCGCCUCUGACCUCUGUUCUGACUUCUGCCGCGCACUAUAGCAUUGUCACGGGCACUGUUGCAGUCGACCAUUGCGCUUAUAGCCGUUACUCAGCUGGUGCACCAGACAGUCCGGUGGCGCACCGGACAGUCCGGUGAAUUAUAGCGGAGAGCACCUGAAGAAACCCGAGAGUGGCUAGUUCAGCCCUGUACGGUCCUGGUGCACCGGACACUGUCCGGUGGCACACCGGACAGUCCGGUGCGCCAGACCAGGGCACACUCGGUUUCUUUGCUCCUUUGUAUUUGAACCCUAUCUUUAAUCUUUUAUUGGUUUGUGUCGAACCUUUAUGCACCUGUAGAUCAUAUACUCUAGAGCAAACUAGUUAGUCCAUUAUUUGUGUUGGGCAUUCAACCACCAAAAUUAAAUUGGAAAAAGGUUAACCCUAUUUCCCUUUCAAUCUCCCCCUUUUUGGUGAUUGAUGCCAACACAAACCAAAGCAAAUAUAUAAGUGCAGAAUUGAACUAGUUUACAUAAGGUAAGUGCAUAGGUUACUUAGAAUUAAACCAAUUUAUAGUUUCACUAGAUAUGCAUGGAUUGCUUUCUUUUAUUUAACAUUUUGGACCACAUUUGCACCACUUGUUUUGUUUUUGCAAAUCUUUUUGGAAAAUCUUUUCAAAGUCUUUUGCAAAUAGUCAAAGGUAUAUGAAUAAGAUUGCAAGAAGCAUUUUCAAGAUUUGAAAUUCCCCCCUGUUUCAAUUGCUUUUCCUUUGACUAAACAAAACUCCCCCUGAAUGAAAUUCUCCUCUUAGUUUUCAAGAGGGGUUUAAUAGAUAUCAAAUUUGAAAAUAUACCAUUUGAAGAAAUUACUUAUCACAAGAUACCAAUUGGAAAACAAACUUUUGUGAUAACCAAAUAAAUCUUCAUUUCGAAAUUUUUUGAAGUUGGUGGUGCGGUCCUUUUGUUUUGGGCUUAAUAUUUUCUCCCCCUUUGGCAUUAAUCGCCAAAAACGGAGACGUUGAGAUCCCUUUUUACUUUCUCCCCCAUUGGUACAAGUAUAUAUGAGUGAAAAGAUUAUACCAAUUGAGAGUGUUGUGGAGUGACGACGAAGGAUAAAAGAUACCGGGAGAGUGGAGUGGAAGCCUUGUCUUCGUCGAGUACUCCAUUUCCCUUUAAAUCUACGACUUAGCAUAGAAAUACACUUGAAAAUACAUUAGUCGUAGUCAUGAAAGAGAUAUGAUCAAAUGUAUAUAAAUGAGCUAUGUGUGCAAUGUUUCAAUCAAAAUUCAGAGAAUCAAGAAUAUUUAGCUCAUUCCUAAGUUUGCUAAAGGUUUUCUCAUCUAAUGGUUUGGUAAAGAUAUCGGCUAAUUGUUCUUUGGUGCUAACAUAAGCAAUCUCGAUAUCCCCCUUUGUUGGUGAUCCCUCAAAAAGUGAUACCGAAUGUCUAUGUGCUUAGUGCGACUGUGUUCAACGGGAUUAUCCGCCAUGUGGAUUGCACUCUCAUUAUCACAUAGGAGAGGGACUUUGCUCAAUUUAUAGCCAUAGUCCCUAAGGGUUUGUCUCAUCAAAGUAAUUGCACACAGCAAUGGCCUGCGACAAUGUACUCGGCUUCGGUGGUAGAAAGAGCUACUGAGUUUUGUUUCUUUGAAGCCCAAGACACCAGGGAUCUUCCCAGAAACUGACAAGUCCCUGAUGUGCUCUUCCUAUCAAUUUUACACCCUGCCCAAUCAGCAUCUUAAUAUCCUAUUAAAUCAAAAGUGGAUCCCUUGGGGUACCAAAGCCCAAACUGAGGAGUGUAAACUAAAUAUCUUAUGAUUCUUUUCACGGCCCUAAGGUGAACUUCCUUAGGAUCGGCUUGGAACCUUGCACACAUGCAUACGGAAAGCAUAAUAUCCGGUUGAGAUGCACAUAAGUAGAGUAAAGAUCCUAUCAUCGACCGGUAUACCUUUUGAUCUACGGACUUACCUCCCGUGUCGAGGUCGAGAUGCCCAUUAGUUCCCAUGGGUGUCUUGAUGGGUUUGGCAUCCUUCAUUCCAAACUUGUUAAGUAUGUCUUGAAUGUACUUGGUUUGGCUGAUGAAGGUGCCCUCCUGGAGUUGCUUGACUUGAAAUCCUAGAAAAUACUUCAACCCCCCAAUAUUGACAUUUCGAAUUUCUGUAUCAUGAUCCUACUAAACUCUUCACAAGUAGAUUUGUUAGUAGACCCAAAUAUGAUAUCAUCAACAUAAAUUUGGCAUGCAAACAAAUCUUUUGCAAUAGUUUUAGUAAAGAAUGUAGGAUCGGCUUUGCCGACUUUGAAGCCAUUAGUGGUAAGGAAAUCUCUUAGGCAUUCAUACCAUGCUCUUGGGGCUUGCUUGAGCCCAUAAAGUGCCUUUGAGAGUAUAUACACAUAGUUAGGGUACUCACUAUCUUCAAAACCGGGAGGUUGCUCAACAUAGACCUCUUCCUUGAUUGGUCCAUUGAGGAAGGCACUUUUCACGUCCAUUUGAUAAAGCAUAAAGCCAUGGUAAGUAGCACAGGCAAGUAAUAUACGAAUUGACUCAAUCCUAGCUACGGGUGCAUAAGUUUCAUCAAAAUCCAAACCUUCGACUUGUAAAUAACCUUUGGCCACAAGUCAGGCUUUGUUCCUUGUCACCACACCAUGCUCAUCUUGCUUGUUGUGAAAUACCCAUUUGGUACCUACAACAUUUUGAUUUGGACGUGGAACUAAAUGCCAUACCUCAAUCCUCAUGAAGUUGUUGAGCUCCUCUUGCAUUGCCAACACCCAAUCUGAAUCUCUUAGUGCAUCCUCCACCCUGUAUGGCUCAAUAGAGGACACAAAAUAGUAAUGUUCACAAAAAUGAGCAUCUCGAGAUCUAGUGAUUACCCCCUUAUGAAUGUCACCAAGAAUGGAGUUCACGGGGUGAUCUCUUUGAAUUGCUUGGUGGACUCUUGGGUGUGGCGGUCUUUGACCCUGUAUCUCUUGAUCAUCUUCCUUGUCUUCAUUCUCUUCAUAUCCCCCUUGAUCAUUGUCCUCCUCUUGAGGUGGCUCAUCCUCUUGAUCUUCAUUUUAAGCUUGAUCCUCAUCUUGAGUUGGUGGAGAUGCUUGCAUGGAAGAUGACGAUUGAUCUUGUGGUUGUGGAGGCUCUUUGGAUUCCUUAGGACACACAUCCCCAAUGGAUAUGUUCCUUAGCGCGACACACAGAGCCUCUUCAUCAUCUAGUUCAUCGAGAUCAACUUGCUCCACUUGGGAGCCAUUAGUCUCAUCAAACACAAUGUCACAAGAAACCUCAACCAAUCCAGUGGAUUUGUUGAAGACUCUAUAUGCUCUUGUGUUUGAGUCAUAUCCUAGUAAAAAGCCUUCUACAACUUUAGGAGCAAAUUUAGAUUUUCUAUCUCUUUUAACAAGAAUAAAACAUUUAUUACCAAAGACUCUAAAAUAUGAAACAUUGGGAUUUUUACCAGUAAGGAGUUCAUAAGAUGUCUUCUUGAGGAUUCGGUGAAGGUAGAGUCGGUUGAUGGAGUAGCAGGCGGUGUUAAUCGCCUCAACCCAAAACCGGUCCAGAGUCUUGUACUCAUCAAGCAUGGUUCUUGCCAUGUCCAGUAGAGUUCUAUUCUUCCUCUCCACUACACCAUUUUGUUGAGGUGUGUAGGGAGAAGAGAACUCAUGUUUGAUGCCCUCAUCCUCAAGAAAGCCUUCGAUUUGUGAGUUCUUGAACUCUGUCCCGUUGUCGCUUCUUAUCUUUUUUAUUCUCACUCCAAACUCAUUUUGAGCCCGUCUCAAGAAUCCCUUCAAAGUCUCUUGGGUUUGUGAUUUUUCCUGCAAAAAGAAUACCCAAGUGAAGCGAGAAUAAUCAUCCACAAUAACAAGACAGUACUUACUCCCGCUGAUGCUUAUGUAAGCUAUCGGGCCGAAUAAAUCCAUGUGGAGUAGCUCGAGCGGUCUGUCCGUUGUCAUGAUGUUCUUGUGUGGAUGAUGGGUACCAACUUGCUUUCCUGCUUGACAUGCGCUACAAAUCCUGUAUUUCUCAAAGUGAACAUUUGUUAGUCCCAAAAUGUGUUCUCCCUUUAGAAGCUUGUGAAGAUUCUCUAUUCUAACAUGGGCUAGUCGGCGAUGCCAGAGUCAACCCAUAUUAGUCUUAGCAAUUAAGCAAGUAUCGAGUUCAGCUUUGUUAAAAUCAACUAAGUAUAGCUGACCCUCUAACACUCCCUUAAAUGCUAUUGAAUCAUCAAUCCUUCUAAAGACAGUAACACCUAUAUCUAUAAAAAGAUAGUUGUAGCCCAUUUUGCAUAAUUGAGAUACAGAAAGCAAGUUAUAAUCUAAAGAAUCUACAAGAAAAACAUUGGAAAUAGAAUGGUCAGGUGAUAUAGCAAUUUUACCAAGUCCUUUGACCAAACCUUGAUUUCUAUCCCUGAAUGUGAUAGCUCUUUGGGGAUCUUCGUUUUUCUCGUAGGAGGAGAACAUUCUCUUCUCCCCUAUCAUGUGGUUUGUGCAUCCGCUAUCAAUUAUCCAACUUGAGCCCCUGGAUGCAUAAACCUGCAAAACAAUUUAGGCCUUGUUCUUAGGUACCCAAACAGUCUUGGGUCCUUUCACGUUAGAAACAAGUACCUUGGGUACCCAAACACAAGGCUUUGAGCCCUUGUGUUUGCCCCCAACAUAUUUGGCAACUACUUUGCCUGAUUUGUUAGUUAAAACAUAUGAUGCAUCAAAAGUCUUAAAUGAAAUGUUAGGCUCAUUUGAUGCAGUAGGAGUUUUCUUUUUAGGCAUUUUAACAUGAGUAGAAUGCCUAGAGCUAGAAGCCUCAUUCUUAUACAUAAAAGCAUGAUGUGAAACAGUAUGAGGUUUCUUAGCAUGAAUUCUCCUAAUUUUGUGUUUAGGAUAAUCAGAAGGAUAUAAAAUAUAGCCCUCAUUAUCCUGAACCAUGGGAGCUUUGCCCUUGACAAAGUUAGACAAUUUCUUACGGGCAUUAAGCUUGACAUUGCUUCCCUGUUGGAAACCAAUGCCAUCCUUAAUGCCAGGGCGUCUCCCACUACAGAGCAUGCUUCUAGCAAAUUUAAACUUUUCAUUUUCAAUUUCAUGCUCAUUAAUUUUAGAAUACAAGGGUCAAGGAUUAGUAUCUGAUUUGAUACAGAGGGGAAACAAUCAUAAGAUUAAGUUGGUAUGCCUUCGAUAGGUAUGGGGGAAAUCAAAGGCAUCAAAUUCAAGAAAAUGGUCGGACAUACUUUUCCUAGGUUGGGUUGAUAAUUCAACAUGGCGAUCCUUAAGAACAGGCGAACUGGUUAAGGUACAUCAGCUUGCACCAAUAAACAAGGGAAUGGUUUUAGAAGGAAACAUGACUCGAGAUUCUUGUUUAAGCCUAGGCACAAUUUAUGUCCAACAAAGAAAUUAUCUACGCAUUUAUUUGCAUGGGUUUAGUCAUGGAGUGAUAACGGAAAAUUCAAAUUUGGGUCAUGGUUCACUAAAUAAGAACAUGGCCUAGUUUUGGGUUUAAGCAAUCAAGUUACCAACCUUCUAUCGGCACAUCAAGCACAAGAGCAAACACAUAUAACACCUAAACAGAUGACCUAAAGAACGGAGGACAGCUAUUUCAUCAAAGUUCAUAAUACCGCAUUACACCACAUUAUUUACAAUCACUGGUUACUGGAAUAAAGAUGAGAGAAGCAUUUUGGGUAUAUAGGUGACAAACAUGAUGCAUGCUCGUCCUAUUCGUCCUCACUAAUUUUGCCAACAUAUUGUGGCAAUAACGUUCUAUAUCGGUGGCAUACGUUCUCUCAUGGUAUUUUUCUAGUCGUCAGCUACACAUACGUUUUCGAGGUUAGUGUACCUGCAGAAAAUUCCAUCACAGCCCAAUUUCCCAAUGAUGCAGUUCACACAUGACAGUUUAUCACAGUUUAUACUCCAUAUAUUGCUAUAUGGAGGCCAGCUCAUCAUUAAGCGCCGAGCCAUGCAUAGGCGCUGUUGCCACACUUUAACCAUAGGGCAACUCAUUAUGGUAACUCACCUUCUUACCUGAGCGUAGGUGCGUCGUUACAAGUACAAUACACUUCUCAGUAUUCCCAUGUCUGUAUACCCAUACACAUCCAUGGGGUACUGAAUUCCCAGAAAAGUAAUUACUCCACAUCGUAGCCUUCAUAUAUAUAUAUAUAACAUGUAUAUAAUCAAGCGCUUUUUAUACUCUCCCCUAGAACGACGUUUGUUCGGUCAUGCUCUCACAUCUCACCUUACCUGAGCGCCGAUCCAUUCAAAACUGAAUGACCUUAAAAAUAACAAUACACAUGUUUGCAAUACCCCGGUUGUGGGUUAUGGUUUUGAACUAAGCCACCUGAUAGUCCUUAGUUUAGGGCUUAAUAGAGGAUGUUGCUAGCAUUAUAGUUUUUCAAAAAUAUUUUUCAAAGCCAAACAAUGUGUUUAGUUGAAAAAAGGUUUUUCAAAACCAAAAAAUUUGUUUUGAAAAUACGUAUGUGACUAUAGAUAAUUAAUCCAGCUCCGAUACCAGCUGUGGCAGAACCUCCCAAGGUAUCGGGCCCACAUGCAUCUGUCCUUGUCCUAAAGACCUCAGACGUCCAUGCAUGUGCACCAGAUAACUUAACAGGAUCCGUCCGAUUGUCCCAAGGACAUCGGAUAAACCACUUACAACCAGAACCGCGGGAUUAAGUAACACAAAUCACACACGCCAAUAUUUUGCAGCGGAAAUCUUAUUACCAAAUUUUACAAGUUACAAAAAUUUUACUUCGUACAUGAUCGGAGUGAUUACUACAGUGAUUCAAAGAAAGAAACUUUGAACUGUUAUAAAUUAUUUAUAGUUUUUGAAAGUUGCCUAGAGGGGGGUGAAUAGGCAAGUUAAAACUUUUUCAACAAAAACUAGAAGCAAACUGGGUAAAACUGAAUUGAUCUCGAAAUUCACCCAGUUAACUUUGGAAAUGAGAUGUUCUAAAUGAUCCACAGGGUUCAAAGUAGUAGAUCUGAGAAGGGCACUUCUCAAAAUCCACACACCAAAAAGAUAUAAACAAUCUUCCACGGAAUGGUGAGAGAACGAAGAACAUGAACAAACACAAUGAGCAAGAACACAAGAGACACAAGAUUUAUCCCGAGGCUCGGUCACACCACAAAAGGUGCCCUACUUCCUCGUUGAGGCGCCCACAAAGAGCCGGGUCUCUUUCAACCCUAAUCCUCCCUUUGCCGACCACAAAGGUCAAGCCCACACAAUAAUCUUUGCUCAAACGAGCGGGUAAUACAAACUUUCUUGUGGUCUUCCACAAGAUUUGGAGACUCACAAGAGACACCUAGUCGUCUAGGAGCUAGAAGCUCCAAGAGUAAUGAAUCCACAAAGAACUCGAUGUAGUACCAAAGCUCGAAUGAAGAAGAGCAAGAGAGAUUUAGAGAUGGAGCACAAAAACUGCAGCUCUCAAGCUCACUCAAAGAUUCCUCUCCAAAGAUUUGAAAUGGGAGAGGCAAGAGAUGUGUGUGAGGGAGAGGGAGGUGUUUCUUGGGUUAGAAAUGGAGUUCAAAUCGUGCUCACUGCUGUGGGGAGAGAGGUAGGAGGUAGUAUAUAUAGGUGGAGCUCAAAACUAGCCGUUGGGCAGAUUUUUCUGCCUGAGACCGGUUGAACCGCCCCCUAGGGCGGAUGAACCGCCCCUGGCAGGCCUGGCAGCCUGUCUGCCAGUCUGACCGGCAGACUGACGCGCAGACUGACCACAGACUGGUCAAAGUUGACCAAAACCGGUUGAACCGCCCAGGGGGGCGGUUGAACCGCCCCUGACAGCUCCUGGCGACCUGUUUGCCAGUCUGACUGGCAGACUGCAGAUCAGAGGUCAGAGGGGUCAGAGACCAGCUGAACUGCCCCUCAGGACCAGUUCAACCGGUCUUGACCAGUGAGUUUAGGAGAGAAAACCCCAGCUCAACUGCCCGGAGGCAAGUUCAGCUGGUGUAUGGUCAAAGAGGUUCACAGCUGAAGUUGAGUUCAGCUGAAGUUGAGAAAGCUCAACUCAGCUAAAGUUCAGCUCAGCUGAAAAGCUCAGCUGCAGCUGAAGAAGCUCAACUCAGCUGAAGUCAAGUUCAGCUGGAAAGCUCAGCUGCAGUUGAAGAAGUUCAGCUGCUUUUCAGCAAGAACACUCUAGGUUUCUCAACCCUAACCACGGUCAACCAUAGAACGUUAAAGAGAUUUUUGCUUUUCAAAAAUAGCUUUUGAAUAGAGAGGUUUGAGCUUUGACAAACACCAACCUUCUUUUUGGAUCCCCCUUUAUAGUACGACGAUUUCUAUACUCAAGUUAAAUAAAAUAUAAUGAAGUAAACUCCUUGAGUCAUUGGUGUCUCAUGUGUGAUUUCUCCAUGGAAUUGCUUCAUAAGGAUCACAAACAUCUUUGUCUCACCUUUUGAAGCAAACUCAAAUCAAACCCAGUGACUUGUACCAUAUCACCUUAUAUGAGUUCAAAUCAUGGCUUCAAGUCACCUUACUGAUGCAUCAACAUGUUAUAACUCUUCAUAGCUGAUUAGUUCAUCGACUUAGUGCAAGUACUCUCUUCUUCACCUUAGCCAUGGUACCUCGGUCUACAAGCCGUCGCUUGACCUUCACCUUCGCUUAGUUCCUCGAAGCCCUUUCCUUGCUAUCUUCACCCUAUCAAGCCAUUCUUGAGUCACAUCAAAUUGAGCAUCCAUUGAGAGAAUCAUUUCUUCAAUAUUGUGAACCUUGCUUGAAUGUCUUCUAGAUAUAAUUGUCAAGAUCAAUCAAGCUCUAGUUUGAUUCUCAUAGAAGCAUAUAUGGACUGACAGUAAUAUGGUCAAGCCAAUUCACGAUUCCUCAUAUCUUAUUCUCUUUGGCUUGACCAAUCCUCUAAAUCACUUUGUCCUCUAUUCUGGUCAUAUGUAUGUAGUGAUUUCUCAGGUCUUGUCCAUAUAUUCAAACCAAUAUAGAGAUCAUAUUAUAUCCAUUUGCAUUGUCUCAUUGGUUAUAUAACCUCGUGUUGAACCUUUGUUCACUGAUCAUUAUACACUAUUCAAGUAUGUUCAUCAUACUGAAUUUCCUGUUCAACACUUAGCAAACUCGUUAGACCUUUAAAUGUGUUGUUAUUCAAAUCACCAAAACUCACAAAAGGGAUGAAUGCACUUUCAAUCUCCCCCUUUUUGGUGAUUGAUGACAACACAUUUAAAGAUUACAUAAGAUUUGAUAAAUAAGAUUUUGAAUCCUAUGAUAUAGUUUCCUCCCCCUAAAUAUGUGCAUUUUAAAAAAUAACACUUUUGUACUCAAAUGACAAAAGCACAUAUUUAGGUCAAAGUAGAGACAACUUAUAUCAUACUAUUCAUAGGAUGCAGUGUGUCAUAAAAUAAACGUGAUGCUCAUGACAUGGAAUGCACUUAUCAACUUUCUUCAUCUUAUGUUUUUCUUAUGACUUCCCUUUUUUGUUAAUUAUUUCUCCCCUUUUUAAAAGUCUUCUAACACUUAGUUACAUAAGACUAAAGGUAAGCUUUAAUGCACAAUUUCUCCCCCUUUGUCAUAAAUCUCCAAAAAAGAUACAAAGAAUAUAAAGGAUAUAAAUUAUGAUUAAGCGAGAUGUGAACACACUAUCAUGAAAGGGAUCCUUAGAUGGCACAAAGAUAAUGGAUAAGUGUCAUAAGUGAUGUACCUUUGCGUUUUACCUUUUCAAGGGGUUUCCAGACUUGUGUUGGAUUUAGAAUUCAUUUGCAAGCUCUUGUUGGCAUAAUUGUGACAUAGGUCCAAGAUAUCAAAUGAAGAUUGUCAUACUAACUGAAAGAUAAAUCUUGAUACCUGGAGUCUAGAUGUCACUUAGCAUUUUCUUAUCACAACAAGAGGCAACAUGAAAAUUGCACAAGUAUGGAUUAUACAACUAGUGACCAUGUACGAAAUAUCAAUUGAAAAACACCAAUUGAUACAAUUUGAUAGAUAAGCAGAUCACUAAUAGCAUAUUACACAAUGUUCUCCUCAAGUUUAGUGCACACAUAUAUAUGAAUUCAAUUGAUAUCUAUUGAGAGUACUUAUUUGCAACUUAAAGUACCAUUGGCAUAAAAGGAGUAUCAAUUGAACAUAAUCAUGCAACAUAAGAAACAUGUGCACUAUUUAAUCAAUUAAGUUCUAGACAGGAGAAUCUAUAAGCUAUGCUACUUCAGAUAUUUGUAAUCCAAAAAGAUGUGAUACAUAUUUACCAAUUUUAGAUAAAGUUGGUGUAGCAUAUACAAGAGAAACUCAUUCUCUUAUGAAAUGUAUAGAAGAUACAUUUAUUGGAGCAAAGAAUCUUUGAUACCCAUCAAAUUUAUAGUGGAAGCGAUUGUCUUUGCCCGAAGGUUCCUUUCUAAUUUGAGACUACACACAUAAUAGACUUGAAAGUGAAGUUAGUCUCAAAGAUUCAAAUUAUAGACCAUUCUCCCCCUAUAUGUGUGCAUACAAGUGAUGAAUACUUGUUUAGCUUUUGCACUUGGACUUGUGAGGCCAGGGGAUUAAGUUCUACAAUUUGAACCUUGGUACAAAUAAAGUAUGAAAAUAUGAAAUUGCACCAAUUGAAGGUAUUACUCAUAAUCAAAAGGUAUACUAAUAGACAUGAUAUGCAAUAUUUUAAGCCAAGAUUCUUGAGAAGUUAGUAUGUUUGACUCAUACCUCACUAAGAUGACUUAAAACUAACUUAUGACAUCACCACAAGAGAUUCUUUAAUCGUCACCACAAGUGCAACCUUAUGAUGUGACUUAAGAUAUUGCAUAUACAUGCACACACUAGCAUGUAAGAGCCUAGAUACACAAUUGUAAUACAAUAGUUCAUGGAGUGACACACCUUUGUUCUACGCCACAUGGUCUCCAUUAUAAUCAUGAAUUUCCAUCUUAGCUUUCGAUGGGCUUGACAUUUCAAAGAGAAACUUAUCCUCUUCAAACAAUUAAGAGAAAUUCUUCAUUUCUAUGGAACCAUUCAUCCUCAUUUGAUGUUCUCCAAGGUGUGAGACUACACAACAUGAACUUGAAAGAAUUCAUUAGUCUCACAAGAUAUAGGCUAAACUCUCCCUUAAUUUGUGCAUGCGAGAGUACACAAAGUACACUUAUGCACAUUAACAAUACGAGGUUAAAGGAGAUGUUUGCACUAUAUCUUGGUUUAACAUAACAUGCUUUACAUAGAUGAUGAAAAUUAAACCAAUUAAAAGUUUAAGAACUAAAAGUAUAUCAAUUGAAAUCUUGGAGGGUAAAGCAUGCUAAUAUGAACCUUAAACCUCAUAAUGAAGGAUAUCAUAUAAAUAUGUCACUACAUCUUCAUUAUUAGGUUGACAAAAAGUGUAACUCCCUUCUUGAAUCACUGUGAUUUCUUUUCUCUUUAUGAUUUCAUCCAACCAGGCGAUCUUGAACUUCAUUGAUCUUGUCUUGGUUUAAUCAAACUUGAUAUGAGACCCAUUGAAACUCAAUGAUUGAAACAACCAAGACUCUUAUAUCCGUGGAUUUUGAAUCCAUCUUGAAAUCACUUGGAAGGACCUUAUUUAAACACUUAGAAAAGAGAGCAUUAGAAACACAAGGGAGGGUUUCACAAAUGAUAAUCCUUAUAUGUGGAUGGAGAAUGAAUCAUCAUUCUUGAAACCCAAAAGGAUAGAUUAAAUUCCUUUAAAUUAGUGCACACAUAUAGUUGAUCUCAAAGUUAUAUGCACUAUUGAACAUUUUAUAUUGCAAGGAAAUUAACCUAUACUAUGGUACAUCCCACUAAGGAUAGAAUACUAAAACAACUGAAGGAGAGGAAGUUUUCAUACCUUGGCCUCUUAUCAACUUCAUCUUACUUUAGUUGAAUAAUAUCCUUUAAGCUUGUGAUUUAUCCAAUUUAAAACAAGCACCAUCUCUUAACAUAGAUUUUCUAUGGAUAAACUCAACACAAGAGAUGGAAUUAGUAGCACAAGCACUAGUUUCUUAUUUAGCAACCCUUUUAUUUGUGGAAGACAAGCAUGUUGCUAAAAUAGAGAAACAUCAUAAUAUGGACUAAAUUUCCCUUGAGCCCUUAUGCACAAUAUAUUUUGAAUGACAUGGAUAAUAUGCACGGUUGUUCAAUGAAGUCUAAAGGGCUGACUUAAUCCAUAUUAUGGUGAGUGUCCAAUAUGGAAGAAUAAAAUCCAAAUUAACUAGAUAGAAAAUACGUCACAUAAUUUUGGAUUGUUGACCAUAUGAUAAUAUUCAUUCAUCUUCCAAUUGGACCUUUAUUUCAUAAUCAACAACUGAUGUGUAUCCUCAAGUGCUUCUUCUUCCUUAGUGGCUACACAAGUCACAAAAGAUAUAAGAUUUGAAGAUAAUAUGCACUUGAGAUUCAGUUGUUACCACCCUUGCUACUAUCUCCAAAUAUGAUUUAUACAUCCAUUAUCAAGCACCCAACUUGAUCCAUUGAAGGAGUGAUCCUGCAAAACAAGUUUAAGCUUCAUAUCUUGGUACCCAAUUUGAAUUGGGUCCUUUGAGAUUAGUAGUAAGAGCUUUGAGUACCCACAUAUACUUGACAACCAUCUUACAUGGUUUCAAGUCAAUAUUUAAUCACACAGAUAAAAGCUAGAGUUAAGAAUAGGAGCCUUUUCUCCUUUUCUUGAUACAUCAUUGUGUUGCCUUCUUGAUGAUGAACCUAGCUUGACCUUGGGUGCACCUAGCUUAUCAAGGUUAGUCGCACAAGCAUUCAUAUCAAAAAGACAAGUUAUGCAUGGAAUUUACAACUUAGUGAUCCAAUUCACAGUGAAGCAUAUGGAUACCGACUAAAGUAGAUUUCUAAGAUAUCAACAUAAGGGUUUCCAAAAUAGUAUGGAUCACUAAUUGUACCUUUUACAGUUUAAAAACCAUAUCCAUGUUAGUGCAUAUGUAUGUCAUAAAUAUCAACAAAAAAAGGAUUCUUAUGCACUUUUAGAUUUAACGAUAAGGGAAUUUUAAACUGCAUCAAGAGUGCUAUUUAGAAAACAAAUAUUACAAUCCAUAUGAAUGAGAUACAAAUUUACCAUUUUGGAUUGUCUUAGUAUAGCUUACUCAAGGGAAACUUAUUCUCUACGACACAAGAUAUAUAAUGUUCUCCCACUAGAUAUGUGCAUCAAGUAUUUGAAUGACUUGCCACAUGCACUUUCAAUUCUGUUAAGAGUCUCAUGAGGAAUACAUUAUAUAUCACGGUCAAGGCAUGAUAGAUUUGCAAUGAAUUAACUUAUCGUUAAGAAUACUUACCACCAAGUAGAGUGUACCAUUUGUUAUACCAAUUUUAAAGAUAUUACUAUCUGUGGUGGUGUCAUCGUAGUAUUCUUCUUUUCAUCAUUUGUGGAGACUUCCUUCUUUGUUUUCUCUUUUCCUUUUAAAACUAGUCGAUAAAACACUUUGAAAAGAGGUAUUAGUAGUACAAGGAAAUUUAAUGAAUGAUGAUAUCUAUAUAUGAAUGGCAAACAAAUCAUCAUUUAUGAGACAUAAAGGCAUAAAUUAAAUUCCUUUUAAAUUAAUGCACAUGGAUGAGUGAAUUAAUAAUAUGCACCAAUUUACAAAUUUAAGCUAAAAGGAAUUUAACCUUCAUAUUGGCAUUUCUUUCCAUAAAAUAGAUUAUUACCAAUUGAAAGAAUGCCACUUGAAAGGAACUAUUAUUGGUCACAUACCAAAUGAAACAACUAGUUCCAUACCUUUGCCUUGAGCAUUCCUAAUCUUUCUUUGUUUGAAGAUUAACCUUUAAUGCUUGUGAUUUUACCAAAUGAAAGAGCACAAUCUCUACUUAUGAAUUUCCAUGAAAUGGCUUAAGGCCUUGUUCGUUUCUGUCGGAUUGGUGGGUCGGAACGAUUCCUGACCGGAUUGCUUCUCUAAUUUAUAUAAACUUUGAUUAGCUGGAACGAUUCCGGGUGCAAUCCGACGGAAACGAACAAGGCCUAAAAGAGAUUGCAUUAGAAACACAAACAAUAGUUUCCUAUUUAGAAACCUCUAGUAUAUGAAUGACAAGAAGGUUACUAAAAUAAGGAAACUUCAUGAUAUGAACUAAAUUGCCCUUACAAGCAUCAUGCAUAACACCAAAAUUAAACAAGGCGAAAAAACAUGAUUAUUUAAUUAAGUUUAUAUGGCAAGUUUAAUUCAUAGCAUGGUGAGUGAUUAAUGUAGAAGACUCAAAACCAAUUUAAAUGAGAAUGAAUACAUCACAUAGUAUUGGUUCGAUCUUCUUUGAAUGUUGAAUGUCACACUCCAUUUGGGAAACACAUUCUCAUGUUGUGAAACUACAUAAAUCACUUAGAUAAAAACAUUAGUCUCACAACUUUAGUCAUAUAGAGAAUUUCCCUUUUGGUAAGUGCUUUAAGAAUUUGAAUUUCUUACUUAGCACUCUAUUCAUUUAAGAACAUGGGAUAAUCCUCUUUAUGUCUAGGUCAUGGCAAUAAUACGAUAAUCAAUUUGAAAUAUGCCACAAGAUACAUACAACCAAUUUAAAGCAUGUAGAUUGUCAUAAUAUAAAAAUAUGAACAUGCAAUCUACCAUAUAAUUAGAUCCUUUCCAAAGCAAGGUAAAAUCUUUUAAGUUCAUUCUCAAGUGCUUCAUUUUUCUUAUGUGGCUACAAAAGACACAAAGGAAUAUACUAAUUAAAAACAAUGUGCACUUAAGAUUUAAUUGUUACCAUCCUUUGGAUAUCACUUGGUUGUAGGCCUUUUGCUUGAUUCCCACAAAGAUUAAUCCUUAUUCCCUACAACACAAGUUCUUGCUAGAGAUGAAUAUGAAGUUAGUGAUAUAACAACUCAAUUCAUCUUUGGGUCAAUCUUAAAGGAUAGACAAUGUAAGAUUGAUAGCUUGAGGUAAGAAUUGAGUUAAACCGCUCAAGCACCCCAAAGCUUCAUAUCAUCUCUGGGUACCUGCAAAACUUGUUAAUUACACUUUGGUACCCAUUUUUGGAUGGGUCCACCAAGGUUAGCUAAUAAGUACUUAGGCACCAAAUGGCCUUUGUGCUAGUUUUAGGUGAACUAAUUACCUUUCUAGCACAAAUGUCAUUUUUGGGUCUCCUAAGCGAAUAUGAAUGAAUUGACAUGGUAGGCUUAGGAUACUUACUCAUGGGACAAUCCUUGCAUAGGUGUCCCUUUCUUCGGCAAGUGUAGCAAAUCUGAUUUUUAAUUUUGCAAGACUCCUUCUUGCCUUGCUUCUUGUUUGCUACAUGGUUAGUGAGCCUCUUUCUUUCUAAAGUGAAGCCACUAUCUUUUAUGUAGGGACAUGACUUAAUCUCAUGUCCUAUCUCAUGACAUUGAUAACACUUUCUAGUGCAUCUUCUCUUAUUUGGAAGAGUGGCUUGUUUGUUACCUUGUGUGGAGCAUGUGGAGACGUGGUUGAGGCACUUGUCAUGAGCUUUGGAUUUCUUAUCUUGAUGUUUGCUCAUGACUUUCUUGGAAAGCUUGGUAUUCUUUUGAAAGGGUUUUGUGCAUGCUACGGUUGUCCCCUUCUCAAGCUUUUUCACCAUAUUAUCAUGGUUAUCUUGAGAAGGUUGAGCAUGACACUUUCCCUUCAAACGAGUUAAGCUCCUUCUUAGCAUUCCAACUUCUUCCUUGAGCUCUUUAUUUUCUUGUGUGAUAGAAAUAUCACUAAUUCCUGAAAUAUCUAGCUCAAUGGAAGAUUGGCUUUCUUGAGAGCAACAUUUGUUAGCACAUGAUAAUAUAGUUUCUACUUGAGUACAUGUGCAUAUGUGAGGUUGGUAUGAUUUCAAAUUAGUUAACACAACCUCAUGAGCCAUUUCUAACAUGAUAUGUGAAUCCAUCAAUUUAUUAUGAGAGCACACAAGCAUAUCAUGUUUUUCUUGCAAAGCUAGAUUUUCAAUAUUUAGCUUUUCUAUUGUGUUCCUGAGCAUAUCAUUUUUACUUUCUAAUUGAGCAAUAUAUGAUGAAUGAUUAACAGCUUUAAUUUGCUCAAUUGAAAUGUCUUCAUACCUUUGGACCAAAUCAUCAUGAGAGCACUUUAGCUUCUCAUGCUCUUUGGUCAACUUCUCUAAGUCUUCAAUUUUUCUGAUGAGGAAGUCUUCUUGCUUAUGAAGCAUUUCUUUUUGUUCUUCCGCUCUUUUCAUGAGUUUAAGCAAGCUCAUCCGAUGUUUCUUGCUUAGCUGAGCGAAGAAUUGUUGAAGAUCAUCCUCAUCUUCACUAUCACUUUCUUGCUCCUCCUCAUCCUCACUUUCGCUUUCACUGUCACUCCCAUUAGCAAUAAAGCACAUAUGAGAAGUGGAUUUGAAAGACGAACCUUGUGAAGAGGUGGAUUCGUCGUUUGGUCUCCAUCGAUCAUUUUCUUCUUCUUCAAUCUUGUUCUUCGCCUCAUCUUCCUUCAUUUUGAGGAACAUCCUUUCGGCGAUUUUCAUGGCAAGAUCUAUUGCCCUAGGAUCAACAUCUGCACCAAAAGAUAAAGUCGAGGCAACCUCAACUUUUUCAAGCUUAGAAGCACUUUCGUUUCUUAGUCCCCCCGACAUGAUCUUUCCUCACGCGGUUAAGCGUUAGAACGAGAAUUAGGCUCUGAUACCAAUUGAAAGUUGCCUAGAGGGGGGGUGAAUAGGCAAGUUAAAACUUUUUCAACAAAAACUAGAAGCAAACUGGGUAAAACUGAAUUGAUCUCGAAAUUCACCCAGUUAACUUUGGAAAUGAGAUGUUCUAAAUGAUCCACAUGGUUCAAAGUAGUAGAUCUGAGAAGGGCACUUCUCUAUAUCCACACACCAAAAAGAUAUAAACAAUCUUCCACGGAAUGGUGAGAGAACGAAGAACAUGAACAAACACAAUGAGCAAGAACACAAGAGACACAAGAUUUAUCCCGAGGUUCGGUCACACCACAAAAGGUGCCCUACUUCCUCGUUGAGGCGCCCACAAAGAGCCGGGUCUCUUUCAACCCUAAUCCUCCCUUUGCCGACCACAAAGGUCAAGCCCACACAAUAAUCUUUGCUCAAACGAGCGGGUAAUACAAACUUUCUUGUGGUCUUCCACAAGAUUUGGAGACUCACAAGAGACACCUAGUCGUCUAGGAGCUAGAAGCUCCAAGAGUAAUGAAUCCACAAAGAACUCGAUGUAGUACCAAAGCUCGAAUGAAGAAGAGCAAGAGAGAUUUAGAGAUGGAGCACAAAAACUACAGCUCUCAAGCUCACUCAAAGAUUCCUCUCCAAAGAUUUGAAAUGGGAGAGGCAAGAGAUGUGUGUGAGGGAGAGGGAGGUGUUUCUUGGGUUAGAAAUGGAGUUCAAAUCGUGCUCACUGCUGUGGGGAGAGAGGUAGGAGGUAGUAUAUAUAGGUGGAGCUCAAAACUAGCCGUUGGGCAGAUUUUUCUGCCUGAGACCGGUUGAACCGCCCCCUAGGGCGGUUGAACCGCCCCUGGCAGGCCUGGCAGCCUGUCUGCCAGUCUGACUGGCAGACUGACGCGCAGACUGACCGCAGACUGGUCAAAGUUGACUAAAACCGGUUGAACCGCCUAGGGGGGGCGGUUGAACCGCCCCUGACAGCUCCUGGCGACCUGUUUGCCAGUCUGACUGGCAGACUACAGAUCAGAGGUCAGAGGGGUCAGAGACCAGCUGAACUGCCCCUCAGGACCAGUUCAACCGGUCUUGACCAGUGAGUUUAGGAGAGAAAACCCCAGCUCAACUGCCCGGAGGCAAGUUCAGCUGGUGUAUGGUCAAAGAGGUUCACAGCGGAAGUUGAGUUCAGCUGAAGUUGAGAAAGCUCAACUCAGCUGAAGUUCAGCUCAGCUGAAAAGCUCAGCUGCAGCUGAAGAAGCUCAACUCAGCUGAAGUCAAGUUCAGCUGGAAAGCUCAGCUGCAGUUGAAGAAGUUCAGCUGCUUUUCAGCAAGAACACUCUAGGUUUCUCAACCCUAACCACGGUCAACCAUAGAACGUUAAAGAGAUUUUUGCUUUUCAAAAAUAGCUUUUGAAUAGAGAGGUUUGAGCUUUGGCAAACACCAACCUUCUUUUUGGAUCCCCCUUUAUAGUACGACGAUUUCUAUACUCAAGUUAAAUAAAAUAUAAUGAAGUAAACUCCUUGAGUCAUUGGUGUCUCAUGUGUGAUUUCUCCAUGGAAUUGCUUCAUAAGGAUCACAAACAUCUUUGUCUCACCUUUUGAAGCAAACUCAAAUCAAACCCAGUGACUUGUACCAUAUCACCUUAUAUGAGUUCAAAUCAUGGCUUCAAGUCACCUUACUGAUGCAUCAACAUGUUAUAACUCUUCAUAGCUGAUUAGUUCAUCGACUUAGUGCAAGUACUCUCUUCUUCACCUUAGCCAUGGUACCUCGGUCUACAAGCCGUCGCUUGACCUUCACCUUCGCUUAGUUCCUCGAAGCCCUUUCCUUGCUAUCUUCACCCUAUCAAGCCAUUCUUGAGUCACAUCAAAUUGAGCAUCCAUUGAGAGAAUCAUUUCUUCAAUAUUGUGAACCUUGCUUGAAUGUCUUCUAGAUAUAAUUGUCAAGAUCAAUCAAGCUCUAGUUUGAUUCUCAUAGAAGCAUAUAUGGACUGACAGUAAUAUGGUCAAGCCAAUUCACGAUUCCUCAUAUCUUAUUCUCUUUGGCUUGACCAAUCCUCUAAAUCACUUUGUCCUCUAUUCUGGUCAUAUGUAUGUAGUGAUUUCUCAGGUCUUGUCCAUAUAUUCAAACCAAUAUAGAGAUCAUAUUAUAUCCAUUUGCAUUGUCUCAUUGGUUAUAUAACCUCGUGUUGAACCUUUGUUCACUGAUCAUUAUACACUAUUCAAGUAUGUUCAUCAUACUGAAUUUCCUGUUCAACACUUAGCAAACUCGUUAGACCUUUAAAUGUGUUGUUAUUCAAAUCACCAAAACUCACAAAAGGGACACGAGGAUUUUCAGUCCUCUGCUCUACCAAAUGAGCUAUCCUGACCCUUUCUUGUGCAUCAUCUUAGUAAAGUAUUUGCAUCUAUGUCAAUUAAAGGGACUAAAAAAUCAAUAAAGUAUUCCAUUCAAAAUUAGGAAAUGGGGAGGGGUAGUCCUAUGCAUUGUGGAUGGCUUACUUAAUAAUACUUAAAAAAACGAAUUAAUAAUCGAGAUUCCUUGCCGAUACUCUACUCUAAUAAAUAAAAAAGAAAUAAAAAAGAAAUCAUCUAUUUAAUGAAUAGCAUAAGAUUCAUUGAGUUCUUGUCGCACUCCUUUGUGAAAGAGUAGAAUGAGAAAGCUAGUGAAUCUUAAACCCAUUGAUAAAAGAAAAAAAGGAUAACAACUAUGGUUAGGGAAUAAAAGAGGGUUUGGGGAUAGAGGGACUUGAACCCUCACGACUUAUAAAGUCGACAGAUUUUCCUUUUACUAGAAAUUUCAUUGUUGUCAGUAUUGACAUGUAGAAUGGGACUCUCUCUUUAUCCUCGUCCGAUUAAUCCACUUUUAAAAAUUAAAAGAUCUCGAAAACAAUGAAUUGAAGGAUUUGAUUACUCAAUAUUUGAUUGGAAUAGAUUCACAAUAAUUCUAAAAAAAUUAUGAAUUUUCUAUUUCAUAAUCAUUCCUAAUUUCAUUCUAAAAAUAAAAUAAAGAACCUAUAUUAUAAUAUGGGUUCUGUGAUUAAUCGUUAUUACUUCGAUUCGUUAGAACAGCUUCCAUUGAGUCUCUGCACCUAUCCUUUUCCUUUGGGUUCUAGUUUGAGAACCACUUGUUUUUCAAAAAAGGGAUUUGGCUCAGGAUUGCCCAUUUUUCAUUCCAGGGUUUCUCUGAAUUUGGAAGUUACCACUUAGCAGGUUUCCAUACCAAGGCUCAAUACAAUCAAGUCCGUAGCGUCUACCGAUUUCGCCAUAUCCCCAUUUUACUUUUCUUUGAAACCAGGAUUCCUUGUAUAAUUUAAUCCAUCUCUUAGUUUUUUUUGAAUCAUUGAAUUCAUUAUUCGACGUAGUCUAGCAACUCAUCUCUAUUUGAGACACCCCGCUCACUUAUUGCAAUUCAGAAUUGCAUUGAUUUUAUCGUUGAUAUAUUUGCAAUUCAAUCGGAAUGAAUAUAUCCAAAAGUUUUUCUCUCUCCCGCCUCCCUCCUUCCUUUUUUAGAGUAUUCCAAAUCAUACUAUAACGCUUGAUAUUCAUUCUUUUUUUCUAAACUGAAUUAGAAAUUUCAUUUGCUAUGAUUCCUUCUUCUCCUUAGUGAACUAUUUAUCCUUAAAUUAUUAACAAAUAAAAAAACAAAAUAUCUCAAAAAUGUAUAUAAUGAUCAAAUGAAAAUGCCAAUCUCUUGGCAUUUUCUCUUUAUUAUAUUAUUCAUAUAUAUUCUUCUUUUUCUUCUUUUCUAUGUAUUAGAUUAUUCCUCCGAGCCAUAUCAAAUUGAAAAUAUCUGAAAUCAAAUUCAAUAUAGAAUUUGGAAUAGAUUCUAUUAAAAAAAAUCCAUUUGUGAAUUAGAGAAAUAAAAAGAAAGUUCAAUAAAUUCUAUAAUCCUAUUUAAGAAUAUCAUUUAGUUAAGCAUAUCAAGCUAACUUUAUCUUUAUGAAAUUCUAGUAUUUUUUUUCUAUCUAAGUGGAACUUCCAAUUUAGAACUAGUUAAUAACUAAGAUUAAUAAUUAAGAUCUGACAUUUUACAGAUUCCCUAUAUAUAUUUUUAUUUGUUACACUAUUUCUGUUAUGUAAGCCCACUUAGCUUAGAGGUUAGAGCAUCGCAUUUGUAAUGCGAGGGUCAUCGGUUCAAAUCCGAUAGUCGGUUUUUUUUCCUAUCGAUGUUCUAUGAACAAGAAUUUCUCUUUUUCUCCGAAUAAAAUGGGGAAUCCAGGGUCUAUUAUGUCGUUUUACCUUACAAUUUUGCUAGAUACAAAGCAUAAAAAUAAAUAAUAUAUAUACAAAAAAUCCAGAUGUUGAUGAAAUUCCAUUUUUUGUGUUACUCCAUUUUUUGUGUUACUUUAGUAGAUUUUACUCUGUUUAUCCUUUAGUUUAAUUCUGUUUGAAUUUCGCUGUAUUCUGUAAUGUAAAUAGAACAAAAUUUAUUGUGUAAAAUGAAAUUUCAAUAAAAUAAAAAAGGAGUCUUCAUGUCCCGUUAUCGAGGGCCUCGUUUAAAAAAAAUACGCCGUUUGGGAGCUUUACCAGGACUCACUAGAAAAACGCCUAAAUCCGGAAGUAAUCAGAAAAAGAAAUUCCAUUCUGGGAAAAAAGAGCAAUAUCGUAUUCGUCUUCAAGAAAAACAGAAAUUGCGUUUUCAUUAUGGUCUGACAGAACGACAAUUACUUAGAUAUGUACAUAUCACUGGAAAAGCAAAAAGAUCCACAUGUCAGGUUUUACUACAAUUACUUGAAAUGUGUUUGGAUAAUAUCCUUUUUCGAUUGGGUAUGGCUUCAACCAUUCCUGGGGCCCGACAAUUAGUUAACCAUAGACAUAUUUUAGUUAAUGGUCGUAUAGUUGAUAUACCAAGCUUUCGUUGCAAACCCCGAGAUAUUAUUACUACGAAGGAUAACCAACGAUCAAAACGUUUGGUUCAAAAUUAUAUUGCUUCAUCCGAUCCGGGCAAAUUACCAAAGCAUUUGACGGUUGACACAUUGCAAUAUAAAGGACUAGUAAAACAAAUUCUAGAUAGGAAGUGGGUCGGUCUCAAAAUAAAUGAGUUGUUAGUUGUAGAAUAUUAUUCUCGCCAGACUUGAACUUAACGAAAAAAGGAAAGGUUCAUAGAAAUUUUUUCCCCUUCCCCUUUCCCCGAACUAAAUCGACCUAAGGCUCUUAAUUCGUAUUUUCCCGUUCACCUAGCAGAAAUAGAUUAACCCUAGGAUACUUUUUUCUUUUUUGUUAUUUCCUCGAUGUGUAUUUUACAUACCACAGUAAUUUGCUAUAGAGAAUUUCUAUUAAUUAAAGGUAUUAUUGUUGGAAUAAAUUAUUAUUUAAUUUGAUACAUUGUGAUCGCUAACAUUGAUGAAUUAAGAGAAACGGAAAGAGAGGGAUUCGAACCCUCGGUAAACAAAAGUCUACAUAGCAGUUCCAAUGCUACGCCUUGAACCGCUCGGCCAUCUCUCCUACAUAAUCUUAUUAUGGAAAAUAAACUGAGUGAAUAGCGAGUUUUCGUAUUCCUGCAGUACAGGUACAGCCACAACGGCUCGGGAAUUCCAUGGCUCUAUUGGAUUGGAUGGAAAAAUUCCUUUUCAUCUAAGUGGAAGGAUCCUGUAUUUUUUUACUAGGAAUUAUGCUCCCUCGAAAAGUUUUUCUUUGGGGAAAACCAAAAUAAAAAGAGAAUGGAAGAAUUCUUCUUAUUCCAUAAGAAAAUAAAGGAACCCUAGAAUUCCAUUUGCAUAAGGUACAUUACGCCAUACAAUCUAAAUAUAAAAGGGGUAUGGGGCAAUUAAUGACUUUGAAAACGCGAAAUAGCUGAUGAGGGAAGUUGUUGUUGAGAAAUAGGAAAGUGGAAUGAAAUCCAGUCUUAGUCAAAUAUUUCAUAUCUCUUCUCUUCUUGUCCAAACAGAAGGAAAAGGAGGCAAUUUGAGCUGAGCGGAAAAUCCAUAUCUCUCUUAUCCAUUUAGAGCAUAUGGAUCGAUUUAUAAGAAUCGAAUGUUUUGUUUUUAUGUUAUUUUGUGAUAGAAUGAAAAGAAUUCUAUAUAGAAUGGGUUGGGAAUUAUGCCUAGAUCCCGUAUAAAUGGAAAUUUCAUUGAUAAGACCUCCUCGAUUGUAGCCAAUAUUUUAUUGCAAAUAAUUCCGACAACCUCCGGGGAAAAAAGGGCAUUUACUUAUUAUAGAGAUGGUGCGAUUUGACUCUUUUUUUAGCCCUACCUAUAUCUCAUUCUUACGAGAAAGAGAGAGGGUUCGCAUAGAGAGAACAAAAUUAGUAAAGGAAACCCGCGCUUGGGGAAGGUGAGGUGAACUAACAAUUCCUUCUGUCGUGUAUCCUCGAUUGAUGUGGCCUCAGAUGCUUCAAUUGUAGAUUUGAGUAUUGAGCGAAAGGUUACACCUACAGGAUAGGUUCUGUAUUACAGGGCAAUCCGACUCUACUAGUACCAAUAGGCAGCAUAGGGGAGAAAAGCACUACACCACGAAAUAGGAAUCAACAAGAGAAAAACUUUGUUAGAAAUUAGCCCUUUCCUGAUUGGUAUAAGGGUUGGGAAGAAUGGUUGGGAUAACAAACAACCAUCAGGUUUGUACUUUGGAUACCCUUAUAACCAUCAAAGGUCGUUGAAGUGGCUAAUUCCUCUAAAUAGGAGGCAUUGAGAACAAAGAAAUUCUUGGAGCUAUCGUUUUCCUCUAGCAUUAAUAUAAUUCAUUGGUGUUAAGAAAAACCUCUUGGGGGAAGGUUGGCUAGAGAUUUCUUGGAAAAAUACCAGCCCCCUUCGGUCCAUAAUGAGAUGGGACUAAUUCGAUUUUUAUUCUAUAGAUUUUUUGCUUAGUACUAUGUAUAGAAGGGAG